CGGGGCGUAGCGCAGGUGGUAGCGCGCUUGCUUUGGGAGCAAGAUGCCGCAGGUUCGAGUCCUGUCGCCCCGACCA
rnacentral:tRNA from 1 species